ensembl:rRNA predicted gene, 22340
GUCUGCAGCCAUGCUACCCUGAGUGUAUCCAAUCUUGUCUGACCUCAGAAGCUAAGCGAGGUCCGGCCUGCUCAGGACCCAGAUGGUGAAAUUAUUAUCUGUGUUCUGUAGACA